GACGAACGCUGGCGGCGUGCCUAAUACAUGCGAGUCGAGCGGACGGAUGGGAGCUUGCUCCCAGACCGUCAGCGGCGGACGGGUGAGUAACACGUGGGCAACCUGCCUGUAAGACUGGGAUAACUCCGGGAAACCGGGGCUAAUACCGGAUAACUCUUUCCCUCACAUGAGGGAAAGCUGAAAGAUGGCAUCUCGCUAUCACUUACAGAUGGGCCCGCGGCGCAUUAGCUAGUUGGUGAGGUAACGGCUCACCAAGGCGACGAUGCGUAGCCGACCUGAGAGGGUGAUCGGCUACACUGGGACUGAGACACGGCCCAGACUCCUACGGGAGGCAGCAGUAGGGAAUCUUCCGCAAUGGACGAAAGUCUGACGGAGCAACGCCGCGUGAGUGAUGAAGGUUUUCGGAUCGUAAAACUCUGUUGUCAGGGAAGAACAAGUACCGGAGUAACUGCCGGUACCUUGACGGUACCUGACCAGAAAGCCACGGCUAACUACGUG
rnacentral:rRNA from 1 species